GUGGAGGUGGCCGAGUGGUUAAGGCGUUUGGCUGCUAACCAAAUGGGUUCUCCCGCAUGAGUUCGAAUCUCAUCCUUCACG
rfam:Ramazzottius varieornatus DNA, contig: Scaffold003, strain: YOKOZTNA-1.